rnacentral:lncRNA from 1 species
AAGACAUCCGACGGUCGGAGAAAAGCAGUACUUUUCGUCCGUGAAAACUACCAGAUUGAUGCCCCAUUGUUGGAGAAACAUAGUACGAUUAUCCAUGUUUUUUCCAUCGAUGACAUUACACAUCUAUGUUGAUGUGGUUCACAGUCUGAUACUCACAACAGGUACUCAUUCGUCCUCAAUAAAUUGUCCAGUUUUAUCUCCGUCGCUAUUUAUGGAUAUGAAACUUGGGAUCACUUAGUAUAUGCAUAUGUCAUGGAGAUUUCUUUAGGUAUAAUUCUGUUUCUUGGACUGC